rnacentral:rRNA from 1 species
GACGAACGCUGGCGGCGUGCUUAACACAUGCAAGUCGAGCGAGUUGAUUCCCUUCGGGGAUGAAGCUAGCGGCGGACGGGUGAGUAACACGUGGGCAACCUGCCUUAUAGAGGGGGAUAGCCUUCCGAAAGGAAGAUUAAUACCGCAUAACAUCAGAUUAUCGCAUGGUAGACUGAUCAAAGGAGCAAUCCGCUAUAAGAUGGGCCUGCGUCGCAUUAGCUAGUUGGUGCGGUAACGGCUCACCAAGGCGACGAUGCGUAGCCGACCUGAGAGGGUGAUCGGCCACAUUGGGACUGAGACACGGCCCAGACUCCUACGGGAGGCAGCAGUGGGGAAUAUUGCACAAUGGGGGAAACCCUGAUGCAGCAACGCCGCGUGAGUGAUGAAGGCCUUCGGGUUGUAAAGCUCUUUGAUCAGGGACGAUAAUGACGGUACCUGAAGAACAAGCCACGGCUAACUACGUGCCAGCAGCCGCGGUAACAC